AACGCACGAGACCUGCGGACCUGCGGAAGGAUCAUUACAGAGUUUUCUAAACUCCCAAACCUUUGUGAACUUACCACUGUUGCCUCGGCGGAAGCUAUUGGGGUUACCCUGUAGCGACCGCCGGUGGACCAACCCAACUCUUGUAAUUUUGAGAAAUCUGAGAGUCUUAUACAAAUAAGUCAAAACUUUUAACAACGGAUCUCU
rnacentral:misc_RNA from 1 species